rnacentral:rRNA from 1 species
CAAUAGCGUAUAUUAAAGUUGUUGCAGUUAAAAAGCUCGUAGUUGGAUUUCUGGUUGAAGCGACCGGUCGGGCGUUGAUUCGUCUGCACUGGAGUCGGUUUUGGCCAUCCUCUAGGAAAGUGCGUCUGGUAUUAAGUUAUCGGGCGUAUGAUCCUGGUCUUUUACUGUGAAAAAAUUAGAGUGUUUAAAGCAGGCCUUCGCCUUGAAUACAUUAGCAUGGAAUAAUAAGAUAGGACUUUGGUCUAUUUUGUUGGUUUGCAGACCGAAGUAAUGAUUAAUAGGGAUAGUUGGGGGUAUUUAUAUUCCGAUGUCAGAGGUGAAAUUCUUAGAUUUUCGGAAGAUAAACUUAUGCGAAAGCAUUUACCAAGGAUGGUUUCAUUAA